rnacentral:rRNA from 1 species
ACUUAAAUUGAAGAGUUUGAUCAUGGCUCAGAUUGAACGCUGGCGGCAGGCCUAACACAUGCAAGUCGAGCGGUAGCACAGAGAGCUUGCUCUCGGGUGACGAGCGGCGGACGGGUGAGUAAUGUCUGGGAAACUGCCUGAUGGAGGGGGAUAACUACUGGAAACGGUAGCUAAUACCGCAUAACGUCGCAAGACCAAAGUGGGGGACCUUCGGGCCUCAUGCCAUCAGAUGUGCCCAGAUGGGAUUAGCUAGUAGGUGGGGUAACGGCUCACCUAGGCGACGAUCCCUAGCUGGUCUGAGAGGAUGACCAGCCACACUGGAACUGAGACACGGUCCAGACUCCUACGGGAGGCAGCAGUGGGGAAUAUUGCACAAUGGGCGCAAGCCUGAUGCAGCCAUGCCGCGUGUGUGAAGAAGGCCUUCGGGUUGUAAAGCACUUUCAGCGGGGAGGAAGGCGUUAAGGUUAAUAACCUUGGCGAUUGACGUUACCCGCAGAAGAAGCACCGGCUAACUCCGUGCCAGCAGCCGCGGUAAUACGGAGGGUGCAAGCGUUAAUCGGAAUUACUGGGCGUAAAGCGCACGCAGGCGGUCUGUCAAGUCGGAUGUGAAAUCCCCGGGCUCAACCUGGGAACUGCAUUCGAAACUGGCAGGCUAGAGUCUUGUAGAGGGGGGUAGAAUUCCAGGUGUAGCGGUGAAAUGCGUAGAGAUCUGGAGGAAUACCGGUGGCGAAGGCGGCCCCCUGGACAAAGACUGACGCUCAGGUGCGAAAGCGUGGGGAGCAAACAGGAUUAGAUACCCUGGUAGUCCACGCCGUAAACGAUGUCGAUUUGGAGGUUGUGCCCUUGAGGCGUGGCUUCCGGAGCUAACGCGUUAAAUCGACCGCCUGGGGAGUACGGCCGCAAGGUUAAAACUCAAAUGAAUUGACGGGGGCCCGCACAAGCGGUGGAGCAUGUGGUUUAAUUCGAUGCAACGCGAAGAACCUUACCUGGUCUUGACAUCCACAGAACUUUCCAGAGAUGGAUUGGUGCCUUCGGGAACUGUGAGACAGGUGCUGCAUGGCUGUCGUCAGCUCGUGUUGUGAAAUGUUGGGUUAAGUCCCGCAACGAGCGCAACCCUUAUCCUUUGUUGCCAGCGGU